GUCGCUUGGGCAGACACAAGAUUCUGCAGAAAUCUUGUGUGACUUGCAGUGUCCGCCCAGCAGC
rfam:Pseudocercospora fijiensis CIRAD86 uncharacterized protein (MYCFIDRAFT_88928), mRNA